GUGCGAGCGUUAAUCGGAAUUACUGGGCGUAAAGCGCACGUAGGUGGCGACGUAAGUCGGGUGUGAAAGCCCCGGGCUCAACCUGGGAAUUGCAUUCGAGACUGCAUUGCUGGAGUACGGAAGAGGAGGGCGGAAUUCCCGGUGUAGCGGUGAAAUGCGCAGAUAUCAGGAGGAACACCGGUGGCGAAGGCGGUUACCUGGAGCUUUGCUGACGCUGAUGCGCGAAAGCGUGGGGAGCGAUCCGG
rnacentral:rRNA from 1 species